GGAGUUGUGGCUCAGAGGUAGAGUGUUUGCCUUACAUGUGUAAGACACUGAGUUUGAUCCUCAGCACCA
rnacentral:tRNA from 1 species